CCUACGGGAGGCAGCAGUGAGGAAUAUUGGUCAAUGGGCGCGAGCCUGAACCAGCCAAGUAGCGUGAGGGAUGACGGUCCUACGUAUUGUAAACUUCUUUUGUCGUGGAGUACAUUACGGCACGCGUGGCGUUUCGAGCGUACCCUAAGAAUCAGUAUCGGCUAAAUCCGGGCCAGCAGCCGCGGUAAUACGGAGGAUGCGCGCGUUAUACGGAUUUAUUGGGUUUAACAGGUGCGUAGGUGGGAUGUUAAGUUCGUUGUGAAAAGUGGGGGCUUAACCGUCAAAAUGCAUUUGAAACUGGCAGUCUUGAGUGAAGUAGAGGUAGGCGGAAUGCGUGGUGUAGCGGUGAAAUGCGUAGAUAGCACGAAGAACUCCGAGUGCGAAGGCAGCAUAC
rnacentral:rRNA from 1 species